GGAUAGCUGGAUUUUAAACAGCUCAUUGCUCAGGGUAACUAGAUCGAUUUUUGACAUUAUGAGUUAUAUUAUAUUUAUAUUUGCAGGCGUCAUGUCAGCUUGCAAAGUCAUUCGAUAACCAAAAUUUCAGAAAGUUUUUGAGCCUGUCUAUUUAGAUUAAGAAGCUUGGCAGCCCUGAUAUGGGAAAUUGAACUUGCAAUGUAAACAUGAGGAGUAAAAAGCUGUAUCUGCGCCCCAGAAAGAGCCAAGACGCUACUUAAGAAACAGGUGCUUGAGCUCAUCAUCUCUUACAAUAGUAGUGUUCUCAAGUGGUGUGAGCCACCAGUCAAUUUGACACAAAGGAAAUUCCGAUGGCUUGCCAUCAAGUGUCAAAAUAUUUUCACCAGGCCAACAGAGCUUGAGCGACCUGAUCCUGAUUGCACUGAUCUGGACUGGACUGACAUUCCAGAGACACGGUGUGAAUCUGCCGUGAUGUGGGAGGUCAAGAGGGCAAAAAUGUCCCAAAUCGCCUGAUUUAUGGGGCCUCCCAAAACCGGAUUUUGACGCACACAAUGAGUGCUUAUUGAUCUCAACGGGGCGAGAGCAAGCAAAGUGCCAAGGGUUGCCCAAGAUGAGACGCUUUGACCCGGGAUAAUGGACCCCACUCCUCCGAUCUCGAUCUGGUCUUGUCAUCAGCUCUGUCAGGAAAAACAUGGCAUCACGUCGACUGAACCUCACCCUUGCCUCCCUUUUCGAAGGAAUAGGAUACGCAAUCUUGAUUGGAAAAUGAAGACAAAUGAACCAAGUGCCCUCAAUUCUUGUUCCAAGACCAACGCCAUCUUCAUGAAAAGACCACAAAAAUAAGAGACACUGCGCACAUCCUUUCGAACAAAAUCCUCGUCCCAAUCACCCUUUCUAAAAUGAACUUGGUAAAACCAUUCUGUUUUAGAGGAAUUAAUUGUCGUUUGCUCAUGCCUAUUGUAUGUACAUUGGCAAUCAACCAUUCAAUGUUGUGCUCUCAAUUCCAAACCGAAAUCAAACGGCAUGAUAGUAA